CCUACGGGGGGCAGCAGUGAGGAAUAUUGGUCAAUGGACGAGAGUCUGAACCAGCCAAGUAGCGUGAAGGAUGACUGCCCUAUGGGUUGUAAACUUCUUUUAUAUGGGAAUAAAAUGUUCCACGUGUGGGAUUUUGUAUGUACCAUAUGAAUAAGGAUCGGCUAACUCCGUGCCAGCAGCCGCGGUAAUACGGAGGAUCCGAGCGUUAUCCGGAUUUAUUGGGUUUAAAGGGAGCGUAGGUGGAUUGUUAAGUCAGUUGUGAAAGUUUGCGGCUCAACCGUAAAAUUGCAGUUGAAACUGGCAGUCUUGAGUACAGUAGAGGUGUGCGGAAGUCGUGGUGUAGCGGUGAAAUGCUUAGAUAUCACGAAGAACUCCGAUUGCGAAGGCAGUUCACUGGACUGCAACUGACACUGAGGCUCGAAAGUGUGGGUAUCAAACAGGAUUAGAUACCCUAGUAGUC
rnacentral:rRNA from 1 species